UUCACCAGUUUGAGUGCCAGCUGAGCUCCUGUUUUCCAAAUGAGAUGGCCACAGCCUGAGGACCAGAUAAAUAGCAGUCCGAAGCUGGACACAGGCAUCUGCUGGUCCUUUGUGAGGUCUCCCUCUGCCCAACUCUGCCAAUUACAUUAGCACCCAUUCUCAUCUCAAGAGAUUCAUGCAGAUAGAGCUUCUCUUCCUCAAACACUUUCCUGCCUUCAAGUGCAGAAGAAAUAUGCAAGUCAGUUUGAGAUGAUGCUGGAAUAAUUCCUAGGUGACAGAAUAUAGGGUAGACUGAGAGAUGCUCCCUUCUGCAACUAAUCGAAUUUAAAAGAAACAACAGAUUUCUCAGCUCUCUUCAUUUCCUUUUCCCUCCCUGCCAGCCACUCACUUCUCCUGGAUUACUACAUAGUCAUUGAAAGCUUCAGAAAUUUCAAAAACAGGGAACAGUUUUCCCCCUUUUUUUUGUUCUCCCCAAAUGUUUCAGUAUGUGAUGUCAUUUCAAAGAGAGAUGUAAUAUCUAUGUGCAGCCAGUCAUUAUUGUAUCACUGCUCAAAUUCUCAGUUAUUGAGUUUAGAGUAACAAAGUGUGUUUCUAUUUAGCAUGUUGAUAUUCAUGCGCAUUCAGUUAAUCAAAAUCUCCUAAGUCACCAUGAUCAAUUGAAUAUUAAAUGAAUUUAAUUUAGACAUUUUGGUAACGUUUUCACAAGAAUUCUUUCACAGAGCUCUAUGAGGGUUCCAUACAAAUGUCUUCAGUGAAAUUUAGUCUGAAGAUAAAGAUACAAUACUAAAGUAAGAUAUUCUGGUGUAAUACUAACUGUGUAUACUAAGUUUCAAUUAGGCUUAUACUGGUGUUUUUCCAUUCAGCCAUAUGUAAGUGCAUUUUAAACCUAUGAAACCACAAGGAUAACCAGCCAAAGUAUUUCUGAAUGCAUGAAUAAUAUUUUAUGUAAAGUCCUUCUCAGUUCUCUAUGAGACAAUAUAAUUUAUACCUACUGUGUAGGUUAAUUUUAUUUGUUCAGUGUAGUAGUUUUUAUUACAAUUUUUUGAACGUAAUUAGACCCUUAUUUAAUGGAUCAAUAAGUAGAUGCAAGUUCUGUUACAAUAACAAAACAGUAGAGUUCAUUUCUGAAUUAUUUGUUCCUUAAAAGAUAAGAAUUCAUGUAGGCAUACCUUGUCUAGCAAUACGUAUUUGAUAUUAUAUUAAAUUCUAAGGAAAAUAAAAUCAGUAUAAAAUUUUAA